CCAUGAAAGGCUGGAUUGGAUGCCCAGAAUGAAAACAGUGGAGCUCAAGGAGGAUGAUUAGCAAAACAAGGAAAAGCAGGAGACAUAGACUAUGAAAAACCUGGGUCACGAACAGGAUAUUUCCCACAAAAUGUUUUGACCUGGAAAAGAGACAAGAGUCUUCACUAGUAAACAGGAUCUAAUCUCCAUAGUAUAUUUUUCUAAAGAAACAAGAGCUUUCAGUCCUAAAGUAAUUUGCUAGACUAGAAUCACUGACCAGCAGACCUAAAUUCAAGCUUCAAUAUUAAGAUUGUUGAUGGAGGAAACUGUCAUGGAAAUGGCAAUUUCUUAACUCUUUAUAAUAAAAGCAGAUUCAAUGUCACAAGAAUUAAA
rnacentral:antisense_RNA from 1 species